rnacentral:rRNA from 1 species
CCUACGGGAGGCAGCAGUGGGGAAUAUUGCACAAUGGGCGAAAGCCUGAUGCAGCGACGCCGCGUGAGGGAUGACGGCCUUCGGGUUGUAAACCUCUUUCAGCAGGGAAGAAGCGCAAGUGACGGUACCUGCAGAAGAAGCACCGGCUAACUACGUGCCAGCAGCCGCGGUAAUACGUAGGGUGCGAGCGUUGUCCGGAAUUAUUGGGCGUAAAGAGCUCGUAGGCGGUCUGUCGCGUCGGAUGUGAAAGCCCGGGGCUUAACCCCGGGUCUGCAUUCGAUACGGGCAGACUAGAGUGUGGUAGGGGAGAUCGGAAUUCCUGGUGUAGCGGUGAAAUGCGCAGAUAUCAGGAGGAACACCGGUGGCGAAGGCGGAUCUCUGGGCCAUUACUGACGCUGAGGAGCGAAAGCGUGGGGAGCGAACAGGAUUAGAUACCCUGGUAGUCCACGCCGUAAACGUUGGGAACUAGGUGUUGGCGACAUUCCACGUCGUCGGUGCCGCNGCUACGCAUAAGUUACCCGUCCGUCGGGAGGUACGGCCGCGACGGACGUAAACCUAACAAGGAAAGUAGACGGCGUGAGACGUGCCGAACGGACGACGACCGAGGGAGGUAGG